GACGUAGGGCGCGAGCGUUGUCCGGAUUUAUUGGGCGUAAAGAGCUCGUAGGCGGCUCAUUGCGUCAACCGUGAAAACCAGCAGCUCAACUGUUGGCUUGCGGUUGAUACGGGUGGGCUGGAGUUCGGUAGGGGAGCCGGAAUUCCUGGUGUAGCGGUGAAAUGCGCAGAUAUCAGGAGGAACACCGGUGGCGAAGGCGGGUCUCUGGGCCGAUAACUGACGCUGGAGGAGCGAAAGCGUUCGGGGAGCGAACAGG
rnacentral:rRNA from 1 species